UUACGGUCACAUCAUGUUGAAACACUGGUUCCUGUACAAUCAUCAAAGUUAAGCAACGUCGAGCCUGGUCAGUACUUAGAUGGGUGACCGCUUGAGAAUACCAAGUACUGUAA